AUACGGAGGAUCCGAGCGUUAUCCGGAUUUAUUGGGUUUAAAGGGUGCGUAGGCGGGACUGUAAGUCAGGGGUGAAAUACUGCAGCUUAACUGUAGCAUUGCCUUUGAAACUGCCGUUCUUGAGUACAGUUGAGGUAGGCGGAAUGUGGUGUGUAGCGGUGAAAUGCAUAGAUAUACCACAGAACGCCGAUUGCGAAGGCAGCUUACUAAGCUGUUACUGACGCUGAGGCACGAAAGCGUGGGGAUCAAACAGGAUUAGAUACCCUGGUAGUCCACGCAGUAAACGAUGAUGACUAACCGUCGGCGAUAGACCGCCGGUGGCCAAGC
rnacentral:rRNA from 1 species